rnacentral:snRNA from 1 species
GACAGGUUAGUUUUACCC